GCCCAUGUGGAUCAAUCGGACCGCGCACUGGACUCACAAUCCAGAGGUUGCAGGUUCGAAUCCCGCGGCGGGCG
rfam:Culex pipiens quinquefasciatus supercont3.37 genomic scaffold, whole genome shotgun sequence.